CCUAUUUUUUUUACCCGCUCAGAUUGAACGCUGGCGGCAGGCCUAACACAUGCAAGUCGAGCGGAUGACGGGAGCUUGCUCCUUGAUUCAGCGGCGGACGGGUGAGUAAUGCCUAGGAAUCUGCCUGGUAGUGGGGGACAACGUUUCGAAAGGAACGCUAAUACCGCAUACGUCCUACGGGAGAAAGCAGGGGACCUUCGGGCCUUGCGCUAUCAGAUGAGCCUAGGUCGGAUUAGCUAGUUGGUGGGGUAAUGGCUCACCAAGGCGACGAUCCGUAACUGGUCUGAGAGGAUGAUCAGUCACACUGGAACUGAGACACGGUCCAGACUCCUACGGGAGGCAGCAGUGGGGAAUAUUGGACAAUGGGCGAAAGCCUGAUCCAGCCAUGCCGCGUGUGUGAAGAAGGUCUUCGGAUUGUAAAGCACUUUAAGUUGGGAGGAAGGGCAGUAAGUUAAUACCUUGCUGUUUUGACGUUACCGACAGAAUAAGCACCGGCUAACUCUGUGCCAGCAGCCGCGGUAAUACAGAGGGUGCAAGCGUUAAUCGGAAUUACUGGGCGUAAAGCGCGCGUAGGUGGUUCGUUAAGUUGGAUGUGAAAGCCCCGGGCUCAACCUGGGAACUGCAUCCAAAACUGGCGAGCUAGAGUACGGUAGAGGGUGGUGGAAUUUCCUGUGUAGCGGUGAAAUGCGUAGAUAUAGGAAGGAACACCAGUGGCGAAGGCGACCACCAUGGACUGAUACUGACACUGAUGGUGCGCAGUCGUCAAGUCC
rnacentral:rRNA from 1 species